rnacentral:rRNA from 1 species
AUUGAACGCUGGCGGCAGGCCUAACACAUGCAAGUCGAGCGAGCGGCGGACGGGUGAGUAAUGUCUGGGAAACUGCCUGAUGGAGGGGGAUAACUACUGGAAACGGUAGCUAAUACCGCAUACCAUCAGAUGUGCCCAGAUGGGAUUAGCUGGUAGGUGGGGUAACGGCUCACCUAGGGGACGAUCCCUAGCUGGUCUGAGAGGAUGACCAGCCACACUGGAACUAAGACACGGUCAAGACUCCUACGGGAGGCAGCAGUGGGGAAUAUUGCACAAGGGGCGCAAGCCGGAUGCAGCCAUGCCGCGGGUGUGAAGAAGGCCUUCGGGUUGUAAAGCACUUUCAGCGGUGAGGCGUUACCCGAAGAGGAAGCACCGGCUAACUCCGUGCCAGCAGCCGCGGUAAUAC